rnacentral:rRNA from 1 species
UACGGGGGGGGCAAGCGUUGUUCGGAAUUACUGGGCGUAAAGGGUUCGUAGGUGGCUUGCUAAGUCAGACGUGAAAUCCCUCAGCUUAACUGGGGAACUGCGUCUGAUACUGGCGAGCUUGAGUGCAGGAGAGGAACGCGGAAUUCCAGGUGUAGCGGUGAAAUGCGUAGAUAUCUGGAGGAACACCUGAGGUGAAGACGGGUUGCUGGGCUGACACUGACGCUGAGGCGCGAAAGCUAGGGUAGCAAACGGG